UGUCACUUCAUGUAGAGCCAACGAAAGCGGUAGUAUUUUGAAUUUUUAUCUGGACGUGUCAUGAUGUUAGGCAGUUAUAAACAUACUCCUUGGAAGUAUUUUAGCAGUACUCUAUUGGAUUCUCAAGUCUCAGUAUCUACUGUAAGUGAAAAAUCAAUCCAGUCAACUCAAUCAUUGUAGUAGGAAAGCAUAUUAAUGUUUGUUUGAAGACGUAUCUACGUGAAGGAACAGAAAAUUACCUGACUUACUAAAGCAAGAGUGAACUCCGAAAAAUGUUAGUACAAGUCACAGUGAUUCAAUAUUUCAAAAUAGAUUUGUUCAACAGCAUAAUUCAUACUAAUUUAGCUUGGUACCAUCGGA